GUAUAUGCCAUCUAAAUGAGAGAGAAAGUUCAAUAAAAAUCUCAAGAGUGUCUUUGCCUCUGCUGUUCACUUGGCCCAAGCAUCCAUUCCCCAGCAUGUGUGUACUCAUCUGAAUGCAGCUGCUACCUGCUCAGUGAAGCUUCUCCUUCACCGAUGGCUUUCCAUUGCACGUUGCACAGUCAUUAUGACAAUGCUUAUCAGGUAAGCCAAGACCUGUGUCUCCCUCAUCCCGGUCUCCUUGCUUAGAACACCACGACCCACAUGCAUUCAGGAAACCAGUAUUUACCCAGAGCUGACUGUGGCCCUCUGCCAGACCUCCAGGAUAUAGCAGUG
rnacentral:lncRNA from 13 species